rnacentral:lncRNA from 1 species
GUGGUCCGAGGGAGCAGGAACCUGGGGGCCGUGGAGGGCGUGGCUCGGCCGGAGGGGAAGGCGCUGGCUCCCCUGAUCCUCGCCUGUCCAGUCUCCAUCCGUGGGCCUCAGGUUUCCCACGAGAAAGAGAUUGGGUACCCCGGAUUAAGGGUACUCGAUCUUUGAGCCCAGAAUCUUCUCUCUUCUGCAGCUCCUGGACAGACUGGCGUUGCCCAGCCCCAUGGACUUCUGCGUCCCUCCUGGCAUCCCAUCUCCUGCUCACGCCUUCCUCUGUGCUUCUCCAGGCCUCCCCUGGCCCGUGGAAUCCAGCCCCGGCUUCCAUCAGCCCUUCCUUGCAACUUCCCACCCCUGCUAUUGUCUUCAUCGCAGUGGGCAUCUAUUUGUUGCUGUUGGGCCUAGUGCUGCUGACUAGGCACUGUCUGCUGGCCCAGGGCUGCUGCACAGACUGCAGCUCCCCUUGCAGGAAACAAGGUGCCUCCCAGACCCAAGACUGUUGCUGGAGCUGUGCAGAAGCCUGUGACUUCCCUCUGCCCAGUCCCACCCACUGCCUGGAUGCCUGCUGUCCUCAUCUCAGUGAAGCUGGUUGGGCCCCUCGAUGCCCUCGCUGCUGCCCACUGUGUGACUGUGCCUGUGCCUGCCAGCUCCCAGACUGCCAGAGCCUCAACUGCCUCUGUUUCGAGAUCAAGCUCAGAUGAAAGAUGGGGCUGGGGACGUUGUUAUUUGGGGAGUGGCCAGUCCCCAGGGCCCCCUCUAUGAUCCUCAGGACAUCAUUACUGGAGCUAUGGC